UUUUUACCCUGUGCUAUUUUCAAGUAACAUAUUAAGUUAAUUGAAAGGAAUCUAUUCAAAGUCCCCCCAACCUCCCAGCCAAGCUUACAGGUAAAACUCACAGGUGUCUGCACUUGGUCCUAACUCUGCUUUUUUAGGUCACAGGGCCUAUAUUCUCAGAAAACAGACCCCAACUACAGAACAUACUCUUCUCUAGUCAGACCACAACCCACAUCCUGGAGGAGCCCCAGACAGAGCAGCUUGAAAAACACGCCAUCUUCUACUCUACCUGGCCGAGAGUCGACCCUCUCUCCACACACUGUGUCCCCUCUCAACAUCCUUUAAAACCCCGUACAAGGCUCAGCCUGACAGAAACUCGUGGCCGACAUCUCUCUUGAUGUCUGGCCCCUCUCCUCCCUUAGAGAGUGAAUAAACUCUGUCCUGCUUGUCUGGACAUGCUUUGUGCAAUUCCCUAACAGCUUUGGUGGCCUGUAAGAGGACUGGCCAUUACCUACUGACCGGAAUCCAUCUCAACCAGAUCGCCUUCUCAACUUAUCUCAGAGAGAAAACUGCAGUGCUGCAAAUACAACUGAUUCAGCAUUAUGGUAUCUACCAAGUGCAAGCAAUCCCACUCUACGAGAGCACUACAAGCCUUCCAGAACUCAAACUUGUAAGAUAAGGAAACUGAAGCUCUGUCGUUCAUCUAAAGUUUCACCUAGGACCGGCUAAAGAAGAACUGGAAUGCAGAAUGAGGAGCUUAUGAGGUUCUCACCCUGGCUCCUCCCACCCAUGCUUGGAUUCAAACAAGUGGCCACUCACUAGCAUAUCCAAAUGGAUACCAGAGCCAUUUUCCAGACCUCAGGAGUCCUAUAGCCUUUCACCAGCCAAGCUAUGGUGCUGGUGCUGGUGCUGGAGCCAGAUAAAGAACCAAUUGCCCAAGUGAGCCUGGAAAUACACACAUGUCAUCUCUCUGGAGAGCAAAAUUGACACCAUGACUACUGUUCUGGGACUGCCCUUUAAAACCUUUGCUGAAUUUGUACUCCUGGUCUUUCUCAUGCCUGCUGAUGAAGAGAAGAGCUUCAGGGGUAGAGAUAGUCACAGGUGAGGUGAAAUGUGUGUGUUGGGGGUAGUGAGGAGAACAGAGUGGGAUUCAAUGGCUCUUCUGGAGUUCAUAGGAGCUCCUGUCAUCAGUUCUAGCCUGACUUCAGGGGGCUGGAGAAUCCCCCACAGCCAAUGAAGGGAUUGACUUCAAGGGGCGGUGAAUUACCCUGCUUGGUCAUGAGACCUCAGCUGAGCAAGCAGAACAAACUGAGGCAAGUAUGACAGAAGCUAAUCAGGGACUCAGGAAACCUGUCUUUCCUUCUUACUUCUCACUAACCAGUACCUCCCCCUGCCACACAUACAACCACACAUAUUCUCUUAAAAAAUACCCCAAGCCAUAAAGUGGUAAAUUUUAUGUUAUACGUAUUUUACUAUGAUUAAAAAGAAUCAUAUUUAGCCAACCUAGGUUAAAUAUUCUAUUCUCUGUCCUUAUUCCUAUGUCUAUGUAUUCCUCAGAACUGUAAUCCAAGCACUGUAAUCCACAUUAUUGCAUUAGAAUCACCUCAAUUUGUGAUAUAAUUUGUGAGUUUCCUAAAUGAGGGAUUACUGAUUUUUUCUUUUUCUUUCUGCUUUUUGUGGAAGUAUAACAUAUACACUGAAAAGUGCACAAAUCAUAAAUAUACAGUUCCAUAAAUUUUCAAAUGGCAAACACCUUCAUAUAACCAAAACCUAAAUGAAGAAACAGAAUGUCACUAGCACACCUUCCAGUCACUAGUUUCUCAAGGGUAAUUCCUAUUCAUAAAUUAAAAACAUAUAUUAAUUUCUCCUGCUUUUGAACUUGACAUAAAUGGAAUUGUAAGUAUGUAUUCUUUUUUUGUCUGGCUUCUUCCACUUAACAUUAUAUUUAUGAUAUUCAUCCUUACUAUUGUAUAGAGUUAUAGACUAUUUAUUCCCAUUGUUAUCUAAUACUCCUUUAUAUGAAUUCAUCAUGAUUUAUUUAUCCAUUCUAUUGUUGGUGGACAUUUGAAUUGUUUCUGGUUUUUAGCUAUUACAAAUAGUGUCACUAUGAGCAUUCUUGUAUAUAUGUUUUAGUGAACAUGUUUUUCUAGAAAUGCAAUUGCUGUCAUAGAGUAUGCACAUAUUCAGCUUGGAUAGAUAUUGUCAGACAUUUUUCCAAGGUGGUUGUAACCAAUUUACACUCCCACUAGCAAUGUGUGAGAGUUCUGUUUGCUCCAUAUCCUCACCAACACUUGGUGUUGUCUGUCUUCUUUAUUUUAGCCAUUCUGGUGUGAUGUGAACAGAUAUCCUGUUGUGCUCUUAAUUUGCAUUUUCCUGUUGAUUAGUGAAUGGAGUAUUUUUCAUAUAUUUAUUAGCCAUUUGGAUAUUCUAGGAAUUUUUUAAGGUUUUACUUUCCUGGUUAUUAAAGUAAUACAUGCUAAUUGAAGAAGGUAUGUCAAAUACAGAAAGGAAUCGUGGUGGCUUUGUACACGUCAAUUUAGUUAAAUUGGAACUACGUUUUUCAGAAUUUUUUUUCCCUAUCUGAUUCCAGGCUAGAUUUAGCCACAAGAAAAUUUGCAUAAAGGGUGCCUGGCUGGCUGAGUCCAUUAAGCAACUGACUCUUGGUUUGGGCUCAGGUCAUGAUCUAGUGGUUUCAUGAGUUGGAGCCCCACUGUGCUGACAGUGCAGAGCCUGCUUGAGAGUCUCUAUCUCCCUCUUUCUCUGCCCCUCCCCCACUCAUGCUGUGUCUCUCUUUUCUCUUUCUCUCUCAAAAUAAGUAAGUAAACUUAAAAAAAAAGUAAGUUUGCAUAAGACUUGCAGAAGUGAAGCAGCCAUGUUUAUGUUCAGAAGGUCUGCAUAAAGGCAGGCACCAUUGCAACUCAUACAUGUCUCAGAUCUGCUGGUUUACCUGUUGGCAUGGGAAGGCAACUGGACUCAUAGUUCCCACCACAUCUUGCCCUUCAACUUGUUCAACUCCUGGUCCAAAUGUGUGUUUAGCUCCAUGCCAAAGGUCCCAGCUCCUUUUGCAGGUCACUGACAUCACUGAGGUUGGAGGUGGUGGAGGCAGUGGGAGACAGAUGCAGGUUCCACUUCACCCUUCAGGGUGCCACAUUUUUCUUGCAAGUUCCAGUUUGCCCUCACUCUCCCAUACUUCAUGUCUCUUCAUUCUUCCUAGCUGCUACCCUCCUGACUUCAGGCCCAGCGCGACAAACAUAAGCAGCAAGUGCACAUAAGCUAUUUAACCAGCGCCCACAAUUACAUAACUUCAAAUCCCUUAUAAUAAACCACUGAUUCUAGGUCAUUCUUAGUAGUUAUGCAUCUCUAAUUAAACUCUGAUACAGGCAAUAAGAAGAAACAGACUUCACCUGUAAUCCCACAUCCCGAGUGGACCACUGUCAACAUCUCAGUCUGUAUUUUUCCUGCCUGGAGUAUUUUCAUUGAAGAGAAUGAGUUCUGGAGAGGUUAAGGACUGCUCAGGGCUCAACUGGUAGGUGGCAGAGCCCAGCCGUCAGAAAUCUGGUUUCAUUCACGCCAGUGAGGUGUUGCUUCCACUGUGUCUCAGAAUCCCUGAAUGACCCUUUACUCCUCCAGCUUUCUGGGGGCCCUCCAACUCUGAGCAUGAGCUCUGGGCUUGUGAGAACAGCUUUUGAACACAUUUUCCUGGGCUUUUCGGCCACCUGCUUUUACAGCUUCCCCAUUCUGUUCUGACCAAAUUACAGGAGUUCCACCUUUCUGUUCCUCUUCAGAAAAAGAAAAGUCUUUUAAAAUGAGAGUCAUGCUGUGUCAUCUACAUCUGGAGAACUGACUAAGAAGUGAUGGCCACCAGGGGGCCAAAGAGAGUCCUAAGGCCUUCCCUGCCCUGCCAAACACUGCUCCCCUGAAGUCUAGAGAUGGAGUACUUUGAUUUAAGCAUUACUGUCUUGAGAGUUCUUUUUUAAAAAAGAAGUACUCUUGAGAGAGGCAACACAUGACAUAAUUCUUCAGAAUGAAUGAUUUCCCAGAUGUAGUAGUAAGUGACAAAAGCUUUGGUAAGAGAGCAGGCUGGACAGGAGACAGCAGGAGGUGAAGUCAAAGACAAACUCCCUACUGUACGAUUUGGCCAAGAGUCUCCAGGACUCUGAGUUUUAUAAAACCAAGAGUCAACAACACUUUUCUGCUCAAACCUGAGACUUGGGCUUGAGAUCUGCUCCUCGCCUAGAGGGUGGAUCCUCUAGGACAGAUUCACUUCCCUGAGAACAGAACCAGAGAGAAGCAUCCAGAGAUGGAGAGCAAUUUAGAAACUAGUGACCUUUGGGGUGCCUGGCUGGCUCAGUCAGUAGGGCACGUGACUCUCAAUCUCACAGUCAUGAGUUCAAACCCCAAGUCCAAGUAGGGUAUGGAGCCUACUUAACAUACAUUUAAAAAGCAAAAUACAUUAAAAGAUAGAAAAAAAAUUCUGCUCUAGAAACUA